rnacentral:lncRNA from 1 species
CCAGGAGUGGGAUUACUGGAUCAUAUGGCAGUCGUAGAAGAGUUCCAUUUUCCCCACAUCCUUGGCCGCAUUUGUGAGGAGAGGUCUUUUUGAUGAUGACCAUUCUGGCAGGUGUAAGGAGAGAGCUUGCUGUGGUUUUGAUUUUCAUUUCCCUAAUGAUGAGUGAUGUCAGGCAUCUUUUCAUGUGCCUGUGGGCCAUCUGAAUGUCAUCUUUGGAAAAAAUAUCUAUGAAUAGUCUUUAAAAAAAGAUUAUUGAGUUGCAACUUGCAAUUUAUAGAGAGAGAGACAUACAUGUAAUUUAUGUAUGUGGCAUGUAUCCGUGUAUAUGUGUGUGGAUGUAUAAACAUAUAUGUAAUGUGUGUAUAUGUAAUUUAUAUGUGUUUAAACUCUCCUGACAUACAUAUAUAAUAGUUAUUUUCUUUUUUUUUUUUCCUAGGUCUAUACCUUUGGCAUAUGGAGUUUCCCAGGCUAGGAGUCAAAUUCAAAUUGGACCUGCAGCUGCCAGCCUACACCACAGGCACAGCAGUGCGGGAUCCAAGCCACACUGGCAGCCUACACUGCAGCUCACAGCAACACCGGAUCCUUUACCCACUGAAGGAGGCCAGGGAUUGAACCUGCGUCCUCACGGAGACCAGGUUGGGUUUGUUCCUGAUGAGCCCCCAGGGGAACUCCACAUAUGGAAUAGUUCUUGAAGCACCUGUUCCACUGUACUGAGUCUUCCUUCCCUUUAGGUGUAUCUGUGAAGGCCUGGGUCCACUCAGGAUAACAGAAACCUCACCAUGGGUCUCAGUAGAGGGAUUUGAUAGAAGGGACUGGUGAGCGAGAUGCCCCGUAGCUGAAAUCCCUGCAGCUGCAGGAUAACAUCCAGGGGAAGAGGCUGCCUUGAGAACGAGGGCAGCCUGUGCAGGUGAAGCUCAGGCAGAUGUUGCAGAACCUCCGUGGAUGGCAUGGCUGGUGUGUCUGAGUGUGUGUGACCAUGUCUCGGGGAGCGGGACCUGCCAGAACCAAGGUCCAACCCAGGGCAGCAAAGAGGAAGAGAAUCACCGUUUGGUUUUCCCUCCCAGCUCUCGGGUUGCUUUGCGUCCCAGCUCCCCUGCAGAUGAAGGAGACGUUGAAAGUCAAGCCCUCAUCUCCUCCACCAGGUGGAUUGAAGGAUGGCAGAUGAGCUUCAGGCACACCUGUUGGCCCUUCUGCUUGGAUGGCAAUCCACCAGCCAGGUCCUCCAGCCAGAUGCCACCCCAAACGUCAGGAAACCACGCCCCUUCAGAGAGCCAAUCUGCCGAGACUGUAACCCACCAGAGCGGGACGUGGGCUUGGACUACAGGUUGAGGAGGACACGGGGAGGGACAGCGGGGCAAACGAGAAGUCAUUUCCUCCCGAUCUCAUUCUAGAAAUUCCAGAGCUACUAGGAAAUGAGUCCAGGUAGUACAGUGGCGGUUUUACCACCUUAACACAGAAGAGUUUUUAAAAGCUAUGUUCAAAACCUCCCUCUCACCGCACGUCCAUCUGGGAGCCAUGGCCCCCGCCUGGAUCACUGUCCCCAAGUAGUAACUUCAGCCCCUGGGCAAUGUAUCCCUUUGGACUUCUCAUAACUUUAGAUGCCUUGGUUCUCGUAACUGUAGCUACUGCAUUUCGUGGGGAAUUCAAGAAUACCAUGGCUGCUUCUUGGCCAUUGUUUACAUUUUUCAUCGUUUGCAUUUUUUUUUCCACAAAUGGUUUGCUUCUCAUCCCAAAGGAGGGGAAUAAGAAUUAGCAAAUGAAUAAGGUGAGAUUUUGUUUUGGGGUCCAGGAUGGGAAGCCAAAUCGCCAAAAGGAAAAUAAACGCAUUCAAGCAAAUCUCUAAAGAGAACCUUUCAAAACCGCUUUAUUAUUUUGGAGACAUCCUGCAAAGGGUCCCUGGGAAUGUCUGUGAUAUUAACGUUCAACGUGGCAAAACGGGAUAAAGAAACUUUGGAAGAGGGGAAUAAAUGCCUUCUACCCCCUGAUGAAAGAAAGCCAGAUUUGAAAGGGAAUAGUGGAGUUUAAUCUUGCUCUUCUUCUGCUAGAGGGUUUUGCAUUUGAUUUGUGUGCAUGAUACUCUGACCAAACACAUUUACAGAGGAAGCCUGCUCUGGAGUCACAGUUUGGAUGAUGGAUGUUCUCCCGCCCCCAGAUUUGAGGGGUGCAUUUCCGAGACUCAUUGUGAAUUCAGGAAACAUUUUGUUUUCCUCUGGAGUCUGGCUUCUGAGGAAGAGGGUGAUGGAAAGAAAGGAACGGUUUCAACUUUGGCCCAAGGGGCAGAAGUGGGCGUGGUCCUCACGCAGUCUCUGAAAAUGCAGACUCCAUCCUGUAUCGAUCCAGGGAAGGCGGAUUUAGUUUGCAUGCAACGGUUUUAUGAAAAUGCGGCGAUUCUGAGCCAUCUGCAGGGGACAUGCUCAUUAGCUGGCUGGGCUUCCAUCAGUCCCUUUAAUUGAUAGUCUGCCUCCUCACCUUGGAAACACAGAAUGUCAGGUGUCAUAAAACCACCUCUCAGCUAGAAAAGGGAGACGGGAGACGGGAGGCGGGCUGAGGAUGGUGUCCUUGUUGGGCUCUGUGUUGGUCGGCACUAGAUUCUUCACUGCAUUUUUCUUUUCUUUUUAUUUAUUGUCAUUUUAGGGCCCCGCUUGCAGUAUAUGGAGGUUCCCAGGCUACGGGUCCAAUCAGAGCUGUAGCCACGGGCCUAUGACACAGCCACAGCAACGCCAGAUCCGAGCUGUGUCUGUGACCUACACCACAGCUCACAACAACGCCGAAUCCUUAACCCACGGAGCAAGGCCAGGGAUUGAACCCGUGUCCUCAUGGAUGCUAGUCGGGUUCGUUACCUGCUGAGCCGUGACGGACACUCCCGCAUCUGUCUUUGAAACAUGACUCUGGUCCUAUACAAUUCUCAUCGAAUUCUUACGUCUUCCUCCAGCAACAAGUGUUAAGAUGUGUAAUAAGUUAAGGCUUUCUUUUCUGGAACUUGGCAGGAAAACUGAAUGUGGUCUGCAUGAGUCCUGUGCCUCAAGAUGAAGAAAACAGCUUAGAAGUAUCUUUAAAAAAACAAACAAACAAACAGCAUCCGGAGUUCCAUUGUGGCUCAGUGGGUUAAGAACCCAACUAGUAUCCACAAGGGUGCGGGUUCCAUCCUUGGCCUCGCUCAGUGGGUUAAGGAUCCAGCAAUGUAACAAGCUUCGGUAAAGGUCACAGAUGCAGCUC